rnacentral:rRNA from 1 species
CCUACGUGAGGCAGCAGUGAGGAAUAUUGGUCAAUGGACGAGAGUCUGAACCAGCCAAGUAGCGUGAAGGAUGACUGCCCUAUGGGUUGUAAACUUCUUUUAUAAAGGAAUAAAACGAGGCACGUGUGCCUUUUUGCAUGUACUUUAUGAAUAAGGAUCGGCUAACUCCGUGCAAGUAGCCGCGGUAAUACGGAGGAUCCGAGCGUUAUCCGGAUUUAUUGGGUUGAAAGGGGGCGUAGAUGGGUUGUUAAGUCAGUUGUGAAAGUUUGCGGCUCAACCGUCAAAUUGCAAUUGAUAAUGGCAGUCUUGAGUACAGUAGAGGUAGGCGGAAUUCGUGGUGUAGCGGUGAAAUGCUUAGAUAUCACGAAGAACCCCGAUUGCGAAGGCAGCUUACUAAACUGUGACUGACAUUGAUGCUCGAAAGUGUGGGUAUCAAACAGGAUUAGAUACCCUUGUAGUC